rnacentral:rRNA from 1 species
UACGUAGGUGGCGAGCGUUGUCCGGAAUUAUUGGGCGUAAAGGGCGCGUAGGCGGUUUCUUAAGUCAGAUGUGAAAACCCGGGGCUCAACUCCGGGCAUGCAUUUGAAACUGGGGAACUAGAGUGCAGGAGAGGUAAGUGGAAUUCCUAGUGUAGCGGUGAAAUGCGUAGAUAUUAGGAGGAACACCAGUGGCGAAGGCGGCUUACUGGACUGUAACUGACGCUGAGGCGCGAAAGCGUGGGGAGCAAAC